GAUGAACGCUGGCGGCGUGCCUAAUACAUGCAAGUCGAGCGAACGGACGAGAAGCUUGCUUCUCUGAUGUUAGCGGCGGACGGUUGAGUAACACUUGGAUAACCUACCUAUAAGACUGGGAUAACUUCGGGAAACCGGAGCUAAUACCGGAUAAUAUUUUGAACCGAAUGGUUCAAAAGUGAAAGACGGUCUUGCUGUCACUUAUAGAUGGAUCCGCGCUGCAUUAGCUAGUUGGUAAGGUAACGGCUUACCAAGGCAACGAUGCAUAGCCGACCUGAGAGGGUAAUCGGCCAAACUGGAACUGAGACACGGUCCAGACUCCUACGGGAGGCAGCAGUAGGGAAUCUUACGCAAUGGGCGAAAGCCUGACGGAGCAACGCCGCGUGAGUGAUGAAGGGCUUCGGAUCGUAAAACUCUGUUAUUAGGGAAGAACAUAUGUGUAAGUAACUGUGCACAUCUUGACGGUACCUAAUCAGAAAGCCACGGCUAACUACGUG
rnacentral:rRNA from 1 species